CAACCUCUGCGGCGAAGAUGGGAAAGAUGAAGGCAGUGGCGUGCGUCGCCUGCUGGGCGGCAUUGUCACUGAUCAAUGUCGUGAUGGCCGUCGAUUACGUCGUCGGCAACCCGGCCGGCGGCUGGGACGGGAGGACCGACUACCAGUCUUGGGCCGCAGCCGAGACUUUUGCUCCGGGAGAUACCCUAACCUUCAAGUACAACUCAUACCACAGCGUCAUGGAGGUGACCAAGAGCGCCUUCGAGGCGUGCACCACGACCGACCCGAUCUUGUACGACAACAGCGGCAGCACCACCGUCGCGCUCACCAUGCCGGGGACGCGCUACUUCAUCUGCGGCGCGCCGGGACACUGCCUGGGCGGCAUGAAGAUGCAGGUGCAAGUCGCCGACCGACCCGCACCCACCACACCCAGUUCGCCGCCGCCGCCGCCAGCACACGCGAAACAGAAGCGGCAUGCAACGGCACCAUCACCGACGCCUAUGCCGUGGGCUCCAGCGCCGACACCAUGGUCGCCCGCGCCGGCACCCGCGGCCGCGCCACCGAGACGUGCAGGGCACAAGAAGAAGCACAAGAAGAGGUACUGCCCGCCUGAAACCGUGCAUGCGCCCGCACGGGCCCCCACCCCCACAGUGCAGGCCGUCGAAGCAGACUUUCCGUUCGCGGCGUUUGCUCCUAUGACAGCUCCGCCGCCGCCGCCGCCAACGUCGGGAGGGCUUGCAUGGCGGCGAGCAACGUGUGGCGAGGCUACUGCGGCCUUAGCCGCUCUCGUCUGGUUCAUGCUCCUCUGAGCCGGGGAGGUUUCAGAUCCGAAGAUUUUAGACGCCAGGUCAUAUUAUAUGAAUAUCGUGUGCACGUACGUUUUGCUUAUAAUUUAUAUACAUGUUUACUAGAAUGUGGUAUUUGUUGAGAUUCUGGGUUUGUAUCUUUCGUGCGUUAUGAGGUAAUGAAGUUGUAGCAUACUCCCAAUUCUAUUUUAACAAGUGUUCGCUCGUUUUCAAUUGA
rnacentral:misc_RNA from 1 species